rnacentral:rRNA from 1 species
UACGAAGGGGGCUAGCGUUGUUCGGAAUCACUGGGCGUAAAGCGCACGCAGGCGGAUUGAUAAGUCAGGGGUGAAAUCCCGGAGCUCAACUUCGGAAUUGCCUUUGAUACUGUUAAUCUCGAGUCCGGGAGAGGUGAGUGGAAUUCCUAGUGUAGAGGUGAAAUUCGUAGAUAUUAGGAAGAACACCAGUGGCGAAGGCGGCUCACUGGCCCGAUACUGACGCUGAGGUGCGAAAGCGUGGGGAGCAAACAGG